GGCCUUGUAGCUCAGCUGGUAGAGCACUCGCUAUACUAAAGCGAGGGUGGUAACCGUGCGUAGGUUCGAAUCACGCCGGAGCCA
rnacentral:tRNA from 1 species